UUCUAAAUGAAAAACAAACAAUUUAGGAUUAACUAGGAAGAAAUACAGUGCUUUGGGAACAGCAUGGCGAAUCACUGCUUCCAUCCAUCUGUCCUCUUACCCAGCUGUCGUCUCCAGGUCGCUGGCCUUGCUCAGGCCGGGGAGGGAGUAGCAGGUGGUCCCUGCUUCUAUUUCCCUCAUCCUCACCCUCCCAUUAAUCACCCUCUUCUGGAACUCCUCUCAUGCAAAUUCUUCUCUGGCCCCCAACACAUAAGGAUAUAAGAAAGGCUUUUGUGUAACUUGGAAAAGGAAGGUUGAAGCCCAGAAUUGACACAAGUUUUCUGUGUAUAACUACUGGGAUUACCAAGUGGGGGGAUCCUUCAAAACCAGAGACCUGAGAUGCCCUUUCACUGGGUGUGGGCUUCCAGACUGGGCAUCAGGAGCGCAGUGACAAUGAGAGGAAGGAAGGCUGUUCUGGCAGGGCCACCGCCCUCAGGGACGCUGGUGGAGAGGAGCACUAACUGCUGAGCGCCUGCCCUGCAUCAAGUUUGGCAGGCGGGUAACACAGCCGACGCUCUCCAAGAGAUCGGGUCCCCGUUUUAGGGGGAGCAUACUGUUCACAAGGAUGUAAAUGCUUUCCCGGGACUGUACAGUAGCACAUCCAGUGGAAGCUAUGCAGACAGACAGUAAUAACUUCUGAACAUUAGACACUGGCAAGAAAAUAUUAAAUGAAAGUAGAUAGGGCAUGUGUAAAUCUUCUCUGGUGACAAUAAUCUAGCAUUCCGCCCUCUCCCAAGUAUUUCUAAGAAGAAAGAAACCCUUUCCUUCCUUCCUUUAGACUGAGAAACACAGCCCUCCUGCUACAGAAGGACACUCCCUAAAUUUCUAUUCCUAUGACUCCCAAUGCCUGGGCCCAUUCUCCCACUCAAUACAUUUUUGGGGAUCAGUUCUGGAAUCUGUCACCAAAAAGGUAAGGUUUCACUUGUUUUUAAAGCUUCUUUAGCAUUAUGAUCUUAUCAAUAAUGAGCUCCAAGGAACUACAACAUAUGAAAAAAACAAUUCCUAUAUACCAUAGUGAGUGGAUGCAAGACAUAUGUCCAACCAGGAUAGAAAAGUCUGGAGUGGCAACCACUUCAUUUUCCCCCAGAUACCUAGGAUUUUUCAGAGAGGAGAAAGUAACUUCUUAGCACAUCAGACUAAGGUACUCAUCCCUGGCUCACCUGACUAAUCUUCCCUGAGAAACGUUCUAAGUAAUUCCUGAGACAAGUUUGGAGCUAAUUUUUCAUAUUGAUAACUCAAUGCCUUUGCUUUAAAAAAAAAAAAAAAAAAAAUCUCUCCACUGGGAGAGCUGGGUGGCAGCCAAGAUUUCUAUUCUUCUUUGCACAAUGACACUAGUAAAUGGGCUAAUCCACCACUAAUUAGCUAAUGUAACUGUGCUCCUCAGAGAAAAGUCUGCUUUCAAGAAAUACAAGAUAGAAUUUGUUCAUAAUUAUUGCCUAAUCCUGGACAGAAUUCUUUAUUGAUUUCCUUUCAUUCCCUACAGGCAAGAGGUAUUUCUAAAAGGUCAAGAGGUCUGGUGCAAAAGGUAGGGGAAAAGACGGUGAUUAUCGCACAGAAAAUAGCCCUAACCUCACAAAGAAGGGGCUGGGAUGGUUCUCUUCAUUUUCCUGGCAGAUCCAGUUAAUGGAAUUUAACCAGCCAGUGCCAUGGCAGCUCUGCAGAGGGCACCGAAUGCCUGACUGGGGUGGAUCAGUGGCAGCUGCGCUGAGCAAGUCCCUUCCAGGGGAAGUGGAGGUCAGAUGCUGCCCCCGGACUGCUCCAAGCAUCUGGUACCACUCCCCUGGCCAGCUUAGCUCAGGACCUAAUUUGAGAGCACCAUGGAGGUUGGGAAGCCUGUCCUCAGGUAAGUCUAUUAGAAAUAGUGUUGUUCAACUUUGGUUGUAUAUGCGCAUCCCCAGGGGGCUUAGUGAAGGUAACCCCCAACUCUAAACCAGGAAAUAAGAAUCUCAACAAUAGGGUCCUCAAGAUGUUUUUAAAGGGCAAAAGAAAAAAAAAAAAACCCUCCUACUAUGCAGCCAAGGCAGAGACCCAUGUUUUUGAGUGGCUCCACCCUUCAUGAAGACUAGAUGUCCAAGGUCAGGCCACACAUAGUUGUUCUUUAAGGUCCCCUGGGAAUUUCAGUGUCCAUCAGGAUUCUAGGUCAGUGAUUCUCAUUACCUGGGAUCUUCUUGAGGAUCCUGCUUUAUUUGGCCUGGAGUGAUUCGGAAGGUGUGUAUACCUAACAAGCACCCAGGUGAUGCUAGGACUGCCAGCCCACAAGCUACACUUCCAGGAGUGAGGCGACUUAACCUAAGGGAUAGGGCCUCAUGCCAGAGUGGGCUGGCUUCUUGCAAACUGCAGAAAUAGGUUUUGUUUUCCACAGCUAACCAGACUCCCCACCCAGCAUACCUCAUUGUCACACUCAGCCAGGACCUGGUCAUAUUCACUCAGAGCAACCAAAAAAAUAAUGGAGGUGACACUCUCAAAGCAGUGAAUCCAUUUCCGUCUUUCAGAUCGCUGGCCACCAACAUCCACCAUCCUGUUCAAUAGAAUAAACAUAGGACUCUCUGGGGGAAAGCACAUGGAAAUCAGCACUCUUUAGGGUCCUCAAUAAUCGUUAAGAAUAAGAAGGGAUCCUCAGAUUAAAAUGCUUGAGCACCACUGCUUUAGGCAUGAGGAGCCGCUGGGUGUUUCCUAGCAAAGGAGGCGACCAAAUGUAAGUGAAGUUACUGAGGAUGCAUGCAGAGGUCACUCAGAUGGAGCCUGCUUGAGGAUACUGGUCAGGGAGCUGCUGCAGUAGUCCAAGCAGAAGUUCAGGCAUCACUCGGGUGGUGCCCAAACCAUCCCAGAGUGCCAGGAAACCAGACACAAAAGGGCAGAAAGGCAGGCAGGCUUCUGGACUACUCGCCACCUCUUGUUUCCUGGCCCCUGCAGUUAAUCCAGAGAUUGUGCAUUAGCUGAAUGCUACCCCUUCCCUAGAAAGACCUGCAGGUGCCCUCUGUCUGAUGUGGAGACCCAGAGCCUUAAUCUGUGUCUUUGGGACAAGUUCAGGUUGUCAUAGCCCAAGGAUCAGUCACAAGCUUGAAUGUUCCAGGGCUCGGGCAGUUUACAGAAAUGAGUCCGGGGACCUCUCUUAGGUAGCAAAGGAUACACUUCAAGCAUGCUGUGCUGGGCCCAUCUAGAGGGAGGUUUUGGAAGGGUUAAGCAGAGAUUGAUUCUGAAAAGGUUUAGAUAAAUUCAUGGGCAUACAGGCAGAGGGCAUGUGCUCACAGAGAUGCCGAGUAUCAGACCAGAGGGCUCCCCCAGCUUGACAGCACUCCAGCAGCAUGAGAUGCAGGCUAGACAGGGCAGGACUGUACUUGUGCUGUCUCCAGACAACCAUGUGUAACACGUAUGAGGAGGAACAAGGGAAUGAACAGAUAUAAAAGUGCUUUGAAAUUUGCAAUGAUAAAUCUUGGAGCUGAGAAUAGAAGGGAAGAGAAAUAGUCAACUUCAGGGAAAAGACCCCAGUAUUGCCAAUCUGUGGGUUACAGAAAUAUACAUCUGUGUGUGUGUAUGUGUUACACACGAGAAGCAUUCCAGACAUGAGUAGGGAAUGUCUUCUUCUCUAAGGGGAAUAGAAAGAUGUGUUUGUAUCCACUGUACAACUUGAAACCAACCACAAUUCUAAUACCCUGUGAUGGUGAAGGCCAUUAUUGCCCUAAGAGACAUAAGCCCUUUUAGCAAUAACACACUGAAGAAUCCAUUUGGGGACUUCCAAGCCUGGAGAGACAGAUUCUUAAUGGACCGUGUCAAGGAGACAGACUUACCGAAAGAUGAUGUUUUCCAGGUCAAACGGAUACUCAAUGAUGCCAGUGGUGGGCACUCGGACACGGAGCACAUCCUGCUGUGUGGGCACGAACGCUGGCAUGGCGAUCCGGUCAAUGUCCGUCAGGUAACUGGUGUUAGAGAGCAAGAUGCUGAGAAGGGGCAAUGCCCACCCGGAAAGUCACCCCAGCUCCCAGCCACCCCUACUCGUUCAUGGAUUCAUCAGUGACUUUCCUGAGAAGCAACCAUCCCGCCCUCCUAAAACUGUGUGGAGAGUUUGGUGAGCCUGCUGAGACUCAAGUUUGCAGCUCUGGUCUCCCCUCCUGGUUCUCAGCUGCAGCACUCUGCUGGGGAGGGAGCCAGCCAGGCCACAGGGGCAAGACACAGCACCUGGCUCUCUCACAUUUCAUCUGUUCUCCUCUCACAGGCCCUCCUCCAAGAACACUGUAGAAUGUAGAUGCUGUGCUUGGAUACUUUACUUUGCUCAAUGAAUUAGAGGUAAGGAAAAUAUAAAAGCAUAAAUCAGGCCAAUGGGAAGUCCUCUCAAAAAGUUCCUUGUUACACUGAGAAACUGAACAUCUCCUAAAAUAACCCAAAACUUGUCUUGGAUUAUUUUGGGCCAUAUAUUACAGCCCAGGCUUAAAACACGUUUCUUUUUCUGUGGUAAAACAAGAAGACACUUCUUUUUAAAUGUUAAGGCCUUUGAAAAAAGGCACUUUUGAGUAAAUAACUGAGGCCCUGGACAGUGACAGUGCUGAUAACUUGGAGCCCCCCGCACAUGGAGGUGGCCCCACCUUCUCCCGCACGGCCCACACAGGCAGAGCUCACCUAGGUGUGCCGCGGCUGAACAGGUGAACCACCAGGGCAGCCUUCUGUGACCACAGCCCCAGGGCUUAGCGCCAUGGACUUCUGAUGCGUUAAUUCAUGCCUGUCAGGCUUCCUUGGUGGCUCAGAUGGUAAAUAAUCUGCCUGCAAUGUGGGAGACCCAGGUUCAAUCCCUGGGUCGGGAAGAUCCCCUGGAGAAGGAAAUGGCAACCUACUCCAGUAUUCUUGCCUGGAAAAUCCAUGACAGAGGAGCCUGCUGGGCCACAGUCUGUGAGGUCGCAAAGAGUCGGGCGUGACUGAGUGAAUCUCUGUGUCAUCCCACCAGAGCGUGUGUUCCUUCAGGGCAGAAAGCACCAGUUGUACCUAUAGCCCUUUCCUCCGUGCCUGGCACAGAGCAGACACACAUCAAAUACCUCUCCAAAGAAGCAGACAAUGGCAGCAGAGCACAUGAUUACCACUGACCUGGACCUCGGAAGCAUCUGGGGUCUCACCUGUGCCAGGUUUGAGAGUUCCCUUUUCUCUGUACAGCCCUGUCCACCACUGCAGUCACUCUCCACACUUGGUGCACUUGCCCCAGUUGUCAGGCCCGACUGAAUUCUACAGCACGCCUAGUGGGUCUUUCCCAAGCUGAUCUAUAUCAAGAGCCCUAGCCAUUCCCCAGGGCCUUCCCAGAAGCCAGGGACACAGGCUGGACCAGGGAGGACUCAGGGGUGCCCUGGCUCCCAGCUGUCAAAGGCUAUCUGCCCUCCUUUCUGCCCUUUCUGUCUUAUGUGCUGAUCUAACGACUUACUGGGGUUUCUUUUAGUUCCUUUUCCUGCUUUGCUGCUGUGUUGUACUAACCUGGAUUCAUGUCAUUCAGCACUCAGCCUGGGACAAACACCAGAGGAAGGCCAGUGAAAUUAAGGAGGAAACCCAACAGAAGGCUAGAGGAAAGGAAGAACUUAUAGAUUUACUUGACUUGGUAAAACCCAGAACCAUGAUUAAAUCAACAUGGCCUUGCUCUCCGUCCAUCAAGAGUGAAUAUAAUCUUCUCCCAGACUGUGGUAUCCUCAGAACACAGUGACAGCCCCCAAACCAGGAGUUCUAGUUCUGCCUGCUGGCACAUUUGUGUCACAUGCCCAAUUCUCAACCAGAGAGAACAAUGAAUGGAGACCAUAGACCCUGCCUGUAUGGAGCAGAAGGGCUUCUCCCGCUUCUUCCCUCCACUUGCCACUCGCCCAUCUCCCACAUAGGAGCAGAUGGUCUCCACUGGAGAAUGCGGAUGGUGGAGCUUCCCAGGAUACCCCAUUUGCCCACGCCAGUGUUUGGCUCUUCCAGUAGAUAAAAAGUGGCUCCCAGGAAAUUAUCACAGAGGAAUGCAGCCUUCUACAUAAGCUCUGGGGCGGGAGGAAUUUAGGGAAAAGACAUUGACCUGGGAUUUCAGGUAACCAAGGGAAUUCAGCCUGGUGAGAAAGACAUAUUGUUUGUUCAGCCAAGGGAGGAGAUUUGGGGGACAUCUUGCUUAGAAGAAGAGAAUAGAGGCUCCUUAGAAACCCAACAAUUGGGACUUUAGAACUAACUAGACUUUGCCACCCAGGACUCCAGGUUCAGAGGUUCUCCUGUCCACCUUUGUCUCCUCCUGGUUAGCUCUACCUGUCCAGAUCAUUUUUUUUUAACUUCCUAUUUAAGACUUGGAAAAAGGUGGGAAACAUGGUAGAACAAGAUCUUCUCUGCCUUUCAAGAUUGCCCAAACAUCCAUACUCUCCUACUUAACCUUAUCAUUCAUCCUCACUCCUUCCACAUGUGUUCAUACAUAUACAAACACAUGCUCACGUAACUCACACAUACGCUUUUCCCUGGAAAUAUCUGAAAGAAAACUGCAGCCUUAGUGCCUCUUUAUCUCUAAAGACUUCAGUGCAGUUUCCUAAAACCAAACAUACAUAAUCACCUUGUAUAAUCAUAUAUAAUGAUCAACAUCAGGAAAUUAACAGUGAUACACAAUAUUGUAGUCUAAUCUGCAGACCUUACCCAAAGUUUGGCAGUUGUCCCAUAAAUGUCCUUCAUUGGCCCGCUCUAGACUCAUGUAUUGCAUUUAGUCAGCUAUCUCUUUAGUCUCCAUUUACCUGGAAAGACUGUAGUCAAAGGAGUUGUUUAUGUCACUCUGAUCAAGAAUGACCUGACAAGGGGAGAGUUCCCUAGUGGUCUAGUCGUUAGGACUCUGCACUUCCACUGCCAGGGCCAGGUUCUAUCCCUGGUUGGGGGCAGGGUGGGGGUACUAAGAUCCUGCAAGCUGCAUGGUGCAGCCAAAAAAGAAUGCUCCGGCAAGGAUGUGCUCUUCAGUCACAAGUCAUCAUGAAGAUGGCUGGUGGAGAAGCACAGCCGAGCCCCAGAGAAUAUUCCAAGGCCAAGGCCAAAUAUUAUAAAGGGCAGAGAGGAAUGAGAAAAAGGGUGCCCUGGUUUUUAAAUAAAUUCUAUUAAGAUAUCAGAUGAAUGACUUUUGUACAUUAACAUGUGUGUUUUUUAAAAAGUGAAGUUUUGGUGGCACAAAGACAGAAACAUAGAUCAAUGAAACAAAAUAGAAGGCCCAGAGAUAAAUCCACGCACCUAUGGACACCUUUAUCUUUGACAAAGGAGAAAGAAGAACACUGAAAACAGAUGUCCUACAUGUGCGUUUCACUCAGAAAUUCCCAGGGUGACAGUGGAAGGAGCUGCUUAUGAAGUGGUGCCUUGCUGACUGCACAGAAGGAUGGCUGGCUGCCCAGGUGACAGUCCCCGUCAAGCCCAGCAAGCCCCUCCGGCUGGAAUCCAGGGCCCUGUGGGCAGCCCCAUUCUCACCAGGUCCUCGCAGGGGAAGUCCCUGUACCAUUAAUCACCCAGCACUGCAGGACCCCGAGCCUGCUCACUCAUAGGGAAGAUUGUCCCCUCCUUCGUCAGGACACCAGAGCUCCUGUUCUUUCAUCAGAUACUUAAGAGUUUUCACUGAAAUCUGUAUUCAUUAACACAAGUCUAGAUAAUAAAAGCCUAAUUGCAUGAUA